AUUUUGUGACCUCUGCCUGCAUGAUUUGGAGCAGGAAGGGAUUAUAGAAAAGCAAGCUAAGGAAAAAUGGCUGGUUAUCCUUUAACUACCUAUACAUUUAGCAGAAUUCAGGCCCGUCCCAUAAUCCUAAUCUCAUACCUUUCAUUAGUUUUACAAAGAUCUAUCACAUGGGACCUUGCUCCAAAGUUCCUAUCCCCAAUUCCUGAAAAUGAGCUCCACAACCCAAUCUGAGUGUUUUUCGCCUAUCCUUCGAAAGAGACUCCUUCUUAUCAGCAUUUGGUCAUAUUCGAGCCCCA